GAUGAAGAACGUAGCGAAAUGCGAUACGUAAUGUGAAUUGCAGAAUUCAGUGAAUCAUCGAGUCUUUGAACGCACAUUGCGCCCCCUGGUAUUCCGGGGGGCAUGCCUGUCCGAGCGUCAUUGCUGCCCUCAAGCACGGCUUGUGUGUUGGGCCUCCGCCCCCCGGCUCCCGGGGGGCGGGCCCGAAAGGCAGCGGCGGCACCGCGUCCGGUCCUCGAGCGUAUGGGGCUUCGUCACCCGCUCCGUAGGCCCGGCCGGCGCCCGCCGGCGACCCCCCUCAAUCUUUCCAGGUUGACCUCGGAUCAGGUAGGGAUACCCGCUGAACCUAAGCAUAUCAAUAAGCGGAGGA
rnacentral:misc_RNA from 1 species